GGCGAAGGAGCCCUGGCCCGCCCCACCUGCGCGCACAGAGCCACGUGAACGGGAGCGGCCCCGGCGCGCGCCAGAGCGAGAGCAACGAGGCUGAGCCCUUGCUGGGGGAGGAAGAGGAGGAGGAGGAGGGGAGGAUGCUCCUGCUGAGACCUUGAGGAGGGGGCGCGAGAGAGGCGCCCAGGAAAGAAUAAAGGAAGCAGGAGACAAGUGAAGAGGAAGUGUGCCCAGCAGCGGAGCAGAAUAUACUUUGUUCGGGUUGUCCAAGAUUUGGCUGCAAAAAUUGCAAAUGUGAGAAUCUAAAGGUUCUUCCAGAUAUUUGGAGCCCAAAGAUGUUGAUGAUGAUGAAGAAGAUGAAGGAGAUGAAGGAGAAGGAAAGGAAGGAAAGGGAGGAGAAGGAGAGGAGAGAGAAGGAGAAGAGGGAAAAAGAGAAGCAGGAGAAACAGAAGCAGGCAAACCAAUUUUAGAAAAAUCCUCAACCAUAAAUAAUAAUCCCUAAAGCCUUUCUCAGCCCAUCCCAAAGAGCUUGCAAGAGCUUGUAGAUGCAUAUUGCAAUAUGCCAGGAAGAUUAGUAAACCAGAAUUCUAUUAUGCAAAGUGAAUUUGCAAAGCUGAAGCAAAUCACUGCAACUUGAUGCUGUGCCAGAUGCAUUUUGCAUCCUUUGUACCAUAUAACUAUUACUUUGUGCCAUUCCUGUCUGGCCCAGCACACACCAGUGUUCCUGCAUUUCCUUUCCAUUCCCACCAAAACAGUAUGUAUGUAUAGCUCUGAAUCUCCCAAGCUACUCUGCAAAUAUUCUGCUCAUCCCUCAAAACAGGUUCGUAAUUUGUAUGCAGUUUUUCAUUGUUUUGUCAGGAAUGAUAGAUCCAGUGAUUUAAAGUUAUUCAAAUUGGACAUCCCCGUAAGCCUGCCAAAUCAAAGGGGUUAAAAAAUACAGAUUAUGUAGUCCAUGAUAAAUAAUAUUGAGUAAUUUGGUAUUGAUUGAAUACUCUUAACAGUAGUCUGGAUCCAUGUUCUUCCUGUCAAAAACUUUCUACACUGCUUUACGCAUGAUCAAUUUGGGUACCCAUUUGGAGAAGUGUGGGGUGCAUAGAAAUAUAGUAUCUAUAAUUUAAUUAUGAAAAUUGUGUAUAUGCUUCAUGUUACUGUCCUAGGCUGACAUUCACUUCCAUCAGGACAUUCCAGUAUUUCUUGUGCCUUGGUGCACGUACAGUAGCCAAGCUCCUGUAUAGCACAGCCUAGCAUGACAGCUCUGCAUAUGGGACUAUGGUAGAGGUCAACAUCCCAUGGACUUACCAUUGAACCAUUACUACUCCCCAUAUGCAUGUAACCAUCCUGGGCUGAUGGUAAGCAGGGGUGGAUUGCCUCCAUUUGGUUAUGUCUCUAAAGCCAGAUGUAGAGAGAUUACAUCAUUGCUGGGAUCCUUCACAGAUCUCAGCAUAUGAUAUGAUCAUUUUGUGUCUGGCUGUGGAGACAUAACCAGACAUUCCUUCAGAUUCCACCAGCAGCUGCUGUGGAAUGGCCCUCGGCCUGCAGCAGCUCAAAUGUACAUCUAGAGUGGGGAAGCUUUGUUCAUUGUGAAGGACAGAAGGAAAUGCCUGCCUCCAUGAUGAUCCCACCCUGGAGAAGUACUUGGGUGCAAGCUGGGCUUGUGUCUGAGUAUGCCACUAACGAGAUGCCAGCCAGUAUGUGUACUACAGCACAUGUGAAAUGUGCACACUUUUGAAUUAUACAUAAUGUCUACUGCAUCUAAUUUUCUCCAGAGAAGUGAUAUUCAUGUAGGAAAAUUGUCCUUUAGAGGGAAGUGAAAUGCUGACUCAAAAGGGAAACAAGAGUGGCUAGAUGUUUACAGACCUAUUAUUAUUAUUAAGCUUUUUAAAAAUUGUUUUGUAUUGUCUUUUAUAUUGCUUUUAUUUUUAAUACAAACUGCCUAAAUAUUUUAAUACAUGAAAAAGCCUAAAAAGCCAAUGUGGUGCCAUGAUUUGUGUGUUGGAUUAGGACUCCAGGAGACCAGAGUUUGAAUUCCCACUCAAUUCUAGAAACCCUCUGGGUGACCUAGGGCAAGUUACAUUCUCCCCACCUCAGAGGAAAUCUGUGGCAAAACCUCUCUGAACAAAGCUUAUCAAGAAAACUCCAUGAUAAGGUUGCCUUAGGGUCACCAUAGGUUGGAAGCAAGUUGGAGGCACGUAACAUAUUAAUGCCCUAAAUAAUAUUGAACCACAACAUUUCCGCUGCUUUACACCAUUUCUCAUAUAUGACAACUCCCCACAGGCAUUCAGCUUAAAGCAGUGCAUGAUGUAUAGACCCCAACAUGAGUAGACUAACCAGUUUUUGUACUGUGUUUUUGUUGCUGUUCUUUUCCUAGUUGUUUAAACACAUACACCAAGAUUCCAGUAAAAGCCAAGAAGACAUAUUGAAGAUCUCAAGCAUCCAUUGUUUGCUUGAAGUGAUCCUGGGUAUGUAAUCCUUAAGAAGUACCUUGCUGGAACAAACCCAGAUCCAUCAGGUUCAGAACUAUUCAAGGAUUUUCAGACAGAGUUGCUACCUCUCAAAAUUUUCCAAAGAAUUAGUUAUGUGAGUGUCUUGUAAAUUCUCUAAGAGCAUCCCCUUCCAAAAUAGGGAUACUGUGAUAGAAAAUGGGUUUCCUGAGAGUGCCUUUCCUUUUAAAGUCAGGGGAAACACAAUUUGAGUACCUUUUAUGGAUUAAAACUGCCAAAGCAUCUUCUGGUUAAAGGAAAGGAAACCCUCACCUCCAUCUCUUUCCACAGAGCAUUUAAAACAACUCCAUGACCUUUUGAUUUCUGAUCGUAAGAGGAGGGUGGGAAGAACUGCCAGCCAAAUUGGCUUUUUUUAUUAGUAGUGUCACAGCUGAGAGACAUUUUGCUGAAACUGUUUUACUUGCUGUAACCGAUUGUUUACUGAUGUGUUCAAUGUCACUUGCUCUUACAUUUUCAAGUAUCAUUUUGUAUUUACUUGGUUUUGUUAUUGUUAACUACUUUACCCAUCACUUCAUGGGAUACAAAUUUCACAAAUAAAAUGUUUUCAAACCAA